rnacentral:ribozyme from 1 species
GGAAAGUCCGGGCUCCACAGGGCAGGGUGCCAGGUAACGCCUGGGGGCUACACUGGUGACGGUGUGGCUACGGCUAGUGCCACAGAGAAGAUACCGCCUGUUCCCUCCUUUGGAAGGAACCGGUAAGGGUGAAAAGGUGCGGUAAGAGCGCACCGCGCGGCUGGUAACAGGCGUGGCGAUGGUAAACCCCACUCGGAGCAAGACCAAAUAGGAAUCCGUAUGCUGCGGCCCGCAGUGGAUUCGGGUAGGUCGCU